AUGAAGAACGCAGUGAAAUGCGAUAAGUAAUGUGAAUUGCAGAAUUCAGUGAAUCAUCGAAUCUUUGAACGCAUCUUGCGCUCCUUGGUAUUCUGAGGAGCAUGCCUGUUUGAGUGUCAUUAAAUUCUCAACCGCACUGACUUUGAAUUGGUGUGGCUUGGAUUUGGGGGGAAAAUUGUUGUGGGCUUUUUUGUAUAGUCUGCUCCCCUGAAAUUGAUUAGCGGUACCUUUGUGGAACUGUCUACAGGUGUGAUAAUUAUCUACAUCCUAGACAUCUGCUGGAAUGCUGCUUUCUAAACCUUACUUGUAUUGACAAUCUUGACCUCAAAUCAGGUAGGACUACCCGCUGAACUUAAGCAUAUCAAUAAGCGGAGGA
rnacentral:misc_RNA from 1 species